UCCUUUAAUUACGGGGCAGCAAACAUUCUCAACUGGAUUCCCUAAUCCAACAUGCACUAAUCCUCCUAAUACAUCAACACAAGCCCCUAGCUUAAGGGCGUUGAUUGGACAAGUGGGUUGAGUAGUAGGUGGAGGAUUAAGCCCCGGAACACCACCACCACCACCUCCUCCUCCUCCUCCUCCACCGCCUCCGCCACCGCCGCCGCCUCCGCCACCACCAGAUGGAGGGCUAGGCGUGUAUGGUGGGUAACCUGAAGAAGGCGGCGGUGUUAUUACAGGAGGAGGUGUUAUUAUUACAGGAGGGUUUACUACAGGAGGAGGAUUAAUGACUAUUGGUGGCAAAACCACUGGUGGGUUUUUUGUUGAAGGUGGUUUUGGGUGGCCGCCGUGGUGUGGUGGGUGCUUGGUGCUUGGUGGGUUAGGAUGAGGAACUUUUGGGUGGGUUGGACGGUGGCCUGGUGGAUGUGGCUGAGUACAAGGUGCACAAGCAUAAAUUGGUGGCAAUGAUAUUGCCAUGAAAAUCAUAAAAAUGAAUAACAAAGCUUCAAGUUUAGAACCCAUGAUUGUUAGGGUUCUCUUGAAAUUUGCUAAACUAAUAUUCUUUUUCUUGUGUAUUUUGAUUGGUUUGGGUCCUAUCAUUAUAUAGCUGAAUUCUAUAAGCAACCCGUGAACUAGCUAGUUUUCCGAGUACGUGGAAGCUAAAAAAAGUACUCUUAACAUCAUUUUUAGAGAAACAGGCAAUCUUAAACUGGAAAUUUGGAUUUUUGCUGGUCAAUUUCAAACUCCAAUGCGUAUCCGUGACUCCUUUUCAGUUUCUGCAGGGACAGAUUCUUUUUUCUUUAUUGUUUUUCAUUUGCAUGUCUCUUGAUUUUCUUUUUGGAUGCCAAUAUCAUUUCUUUUUUGAUUUUUAAAUGGGUUGUCUUAUUUAUUUUGCAAAAAAUAUAUAGCAUGAAAUAAUCUAUAGUUUUGAAGUUACAGGCACAUGGAGUCUUAUACUUCGGGUCUACAUACUGUACUCUAUUAUUUCUGUUGGCGGUUUUGAUGAUAAUGGUGGGUGCUGGAUCUAUUGUAGAAGAUGGAGGUUUUAGGGUUUUGCAUUUUGCAGUACAGGCAUGCAUUAUAUUAUUGAGUUCAGUUCACGAAGUAAACAUGUGAACGUUUCUAUGUGGUUUUGUUUUCUUGCAUUUUAAAACGUUAUCAGCAGUAGAAAACUUCUAUACAUGUGUUUUUCUGUAUAUGUUACUUAAGCCAUGGUGUAAAGUCUUUUGAUCCACAUUGCGAAACUUGUCCUCAUCCAUAAUUAGCCAAGACAUUAAAAUCAAACAUAUUCAUUUUCUGUCAUUUACACAUUAUUCAUGUGAAUUUUCGGAAUUGUGUUGUCAUUCUGAUCAGGAGUUGCAAUAUCCUUUAGAAGCAUUUUUCGUAGUGGAAACAAAUUUAUUUUAUUUAUGCACAAAUCCUUAAUUAUUGUUGUUAUAUUAUUAUUAUGAUUAUUUUGCAUUAAUUAAACAAAAAUUCUUUAAGUAAAAUUUAACUGCGUAGAUAGAUAUAUUCUCUGAAGAAAAAUAUGACAUUAUUUAGUUGGCGGAUAAAUAUCAUUAACUUUAAUCUAAUUUGCAUAUAAAAGAACUACAAAUUGUCGGUUCUUUCCCCUGUUCAUCGCCCCAGUUGUUCACAAAUUUUGGCCUUUUUGUUUUCUUGCGCAUAUAAGAAAUAUAAAAAUAAUUUAGAUGCUUUCUAAAGAAGAAAAUCCCCAAUGGUACAUUGAUUUGUUAUGAAUUGUUGGUGGUAACACCAUCCAAUUAUUAGUUAGCGAAGUGUAAUUUGAAAGGCUUCUAUUUUUAAGUAGCACAAACUGUAACUUCUAAUUUAAUUCGCCCAAUUUUGUCAAGCAAUGACCAGGAAAGGUAAGCGCCCACAACAGUAUUAAGUCAACUUGCUUUGGCAUUCACACACAGAGACAGAGGCAAGUGAAAAAAUUUUUUCUUAUUCCAUUUCAUUAACUAAUUGCAAAUAAAACAAUACAGAAAAUGACAUAGAAGAAGGCGAGAUGCCCUUCUUGCCGUGUAAACAAUAAAAAAUGAUUUUGAUCACCAGAAACAAAGGAUGUUAAGCUGCAAGAAUGAAAUGAGAAAAAAUAUUGAAAAUAAUAAUAAUGGAUUAAAUUUAUGCGCACUUGAAUCCUUCAGGAACCUUCUUUCCACAGUAGUUAAGCAACAAGCUCAAGUCAAUAGGAAGAUUUAGGUUAAUGCCCAAAAGACUAGCCUUAAUGGUAGUGCAAAGGCAGACAGCGGCUUCAAGAUCAACAAGAUCGCCAAGGAGGCUACAGCAAGGGGUCUUUGGUGGCUUACCAACUGUAACAUUCAACAAACCCUUCAAAACAUCAACACAUACACCCAGUUUCAAGGUAUCUCUAGGACAAGCACCAGUUGAUGGGUUAGGCGAUGGCUUAGGCUUAGGUUUUGGUGGUGGUGGACAAUUGGUAGAGCUCACUAAAGUGAAGAAGAGAAGGUUCAAGGAGAGAAGAAGGGCAGUGGAGACUAGAGUUCUUGAAGCCAUUUCUCAAGAAUUAAUUAAUUCUUCGGAUAUAUGGUUCUUAAUUUGUUAGCUUCAAGAGACUGACGAACAUCGUAGAAUGGAUUAAGGAAUUUAUAGAUGGAGUUUAAGCAUUGUUUGAGCUUAAAAAAUCAUAAUAAUAUGACCCAUGUGAGAGUACAUUGUUGGAAACAACCUGUCGCUGCAGCUUGAGCUUGGAAUAUAUGUGCAUAUAUGAUUCUUCUUUGAAAAUUCCUAAUAUUGAGUUCGUCUACUUGUAGGCACAUUCAUUCCAUACAAACCGAUUGUUGAAUGAUCUGCCAGCAUCCGUAGUUGGCCAUAUAUUCCUUUUCCGUGAAUCACGCAUCACUGAUGCGGAUUUUUAAAUUGCAUAGCUGAUCUCUUUGAUCUUGACCCAUUAUGUAAACCGUCCUUACUUAAAAGGAAUUUUUUAUGGAUAGAAAAUUUUAUGCUUUUAGAAAAUGUAAAUAAUGAAAAACCCACAUAGGUCUCUUAUAGGACUUUAAAUUUAAAAAGAAAAAAAAGAAAUUAACGUAAUUUUUGUGUAUCAUAUACCACCAUCUUCCUAAUUAUGUGAUCUUAUGCGGAUUAGAGAGGAUUCACAAUGUAUAUAUAUAUAUAUAUAUAUAUGGUUGGCCUUAAAAAUCAAACUCUAGUCAACAUAAUAUUGAGAGUAGUUUUGGAUUUUUUACCGCUAGAUUAAAACUUCAUUUUCAGAAUUUAUUAUUGUCUGCUUACAAAAAAUUAAUUUAACUUAAUUAUUAAGCCAUGUCUCCGGUUGUUUUCUAGAUUUUUUUAUUUAGCGUUUACGAGUUAGGUUGGGUGUAUCAGGGACAUAAUGGAUUGGGUUUAAAAACUUUGAUAUGCUAAGUUAUUUUUAUAAAUUAAUAAAAUAAUUAUAUUUUGCUGAUAAAAAGAAAACACAUAUCUGCAUUCUUAUUAACUUCUAAAACAGGCAUUUCCAUUGAAAGUCAAAAAGAGCAAAAACACUUAUAUAUAAAUAGUUAUUUUCUUACUCGUAGCAGCAGUUGAACGUAUUGUGGGAUCAGUAAAUUUCAGUCAAUCGCAUUACUAAAAUUACUCAUGCAGAUCGAUAAGCUUCAAACUAUAUAUAUAUAUUCAAUCAUUCAUUCGAGGAAUAGAAAGGUUUGAAUAAUUAAUCAUUACCUAUAUAAAAAUAUAUAUAUUUAUUAAAAAUUUAAACACUAAACUAAACUUAUUUAGAUUUUUUUGGAACAUAUUAUUUCAUUAUAUUAAAAAAACAAUACAGACGCACGACGAAGUAGGCAAGAAAACCUUCUUGCCAAAUCGAUUACAACAGUAAGAUAUUAUUUUGAUUGAGCUUCUAUGGCAUAUAUGCCAAGAAAACAUCUCAUGAAUAAAUUAAUACAAAACGAAAGAAUUUAUUUAAAUUAACUUGGAAUAAAUAGAAUGCAUAACAAAUUUAUGCACAUUGAAAUCCUUGGGGGACCUUCUUGCCACAGUAGUUAAGCAACAAGCUCAAGUCAAUUGGAAGAUUUAGGUUAAUGCCCAAAAGACUAGCUUUAAUUGUAGUGCAAAGGCAAACAGCAGCCUCAAGGUCAACAAGGUCGCCAAGGAGGCUACAGCAAGGGGUCUUUGGUGGGGUACCAAUUGUGACACUCAACAAAUCCUUCAAAAGAUCAACACAUACGCCCAGUUUUAGGGUAUCCCUUGGGCAAGCUCCAUGUGAUGGGCUUGGUGUCGGGUUAUUGGGCUUAGGAGAUGGGGUUCUUGGGCUUGGUCUAGGGUUAUUGGGCCUAGGUGAUGGGUUGCCGGGGCUUGGUGUCGGGUUAUUGGGCUUAGGUGAUGGAUUGCUCGGAUUUGGUGUCGGGUUAUUGGGCGUAGGUGAUGGGUUGCUGGGGCUUGGUGUUGGGUUAUUGGGCGAAGGUGAUGGAUUCCUGGGGCUUGGUAUUGGGUUAUUGGGUGAAGGUGAUGGGUUGCUGGGGCUUGGUGUUGGGUUAUUGGGCGAAGGUGAUGGGUUAUUGGGCUUAGGUGAUGGGUUGCCGGGGCUUGGUGUGGGGUUUUUGGGUGUAGGAGAUGGGUUGCUUGGGUUAGGAGAAGGGGUUUUUGGUUUGGGUGAUGGCGUAUCAGGUGGACAAGAGCAAGAGGUGACCAAAGUGAAGAAAAGAAGAUUGAGGGAGAGAAGAAGGGCAAUGGAGGCUGCAGUUCUUGAAGCCAUAUUUCUCUGUGUUUUCUUUAGUUUACUAAAAUAAGUAUGAAGUGAUGAGAAAUGGUGGAGAGGGUGUAGGGUUUUUAUAGAAGGACACCACUUAAGCAUAAAAUUAGAAAAUUAGAAUAAUGUGAUGCAUGUGGAUACAUAUAUUUUUGCAUGGGUAAUAAAUAUUAUGAGACACAAGCUGUCACUUUGCAGCUAGCGUUUGAAAAUCAUCGUCGUUGAAAAAUCUUCAAUAUAAUUAGCAACUACGUGUAGGCACAUUCCAUAGGAAAAAAAUGAAAUUUUGUUUAUUUAUUUGCUUUAAAUGGGUUGUUUUAUUGACUUUAUAAGUGCCUAGUCUCAUAAUUACAUAUAUAGAAUAUUUAUAGUGCAAUAACAGUUGUAGAUAGACAAAAUCCCUGAACUUGGGGAGAAUUUAAGUUUUUUUAAUUACUAUAUUAUUAUUGUUAAAAACCUAUUCUUUAGUCAAGAGCAAUCACCUAUUAUUACAUUGGAAAUUUAUUUCAAUUGAUUCUCUUUGCCUUGUAGUUUUACUUUCCCUAUUAAAUAUAACUCUGAUGUUCCAAUUUUUUAAAUAUUUCUAUUUUUUCAUACGGUAUUGUUUGAUUUAUAAUCCUUUUUAAAAAUUAUUAAUUACUUGCUUGUAUAAAUAAUAAUAUUAAAAAAAGAGUUAUCUAUUGGAGUACGUGAAUAAUCCUACAUCGGAUAAAUAUAACUAAUUAAAAGGGCAUAUAAUUUCAAGGGUGAACUAACCAAAAUAGCUUAGACUAUUUUGUAUUAAAAGUAAGCCCAAUGUUAAAUACAGAUUUGAUUAAUUUGCUCAUAGGCCCCAUAUGCUUAAUAUUAUAUAAAUAAUAAUAAUAAUAACAAACAAUCCCUUAUCCAAAUUCCUCUAAUGAUAUGCUUAAAAUUAUGAUUACAAUUCUUGCAAUUACCCAAAAAUAAGGUGAUUCUUAAUAGAUAAAUAUAUUAAAAUUCUUUAAUUUUAUUUAAUUAAAUAAAAUCAUGAAUAAGUUAAAAUAUAUUCGACAAUUAAAUAAAUUAAAUUUAAAUAAAAUUUUAAAUUGGAUGUAUCAAAUCACAUCUUAUUAAAUAAAAUUUUAAAUUAGAUGUAUCAAAUCACAUCUUAUUCAAAAAAAAAAAAAAAAAGUUAGAUCACCUCUGUUUAAAUUAGAUUUAUUUGAUAUAUUUUAUCAAAUCACAUCUUAUUAAAUUAGAUUUAUUUAAUAAGACGUUAUUAGGAGUACAAAACUUCUAUGCUUAUGUUUUUUUAUGUAUAUGAUAUUUUAUUUUCUAUUUAUUGGGAAGGACCACUAAAUCGGAAGAAUAUAAUGUGAUAGCCUUCUCUUUUAUUCAUAAAUUGAUGAAAAUUCUUUAAUUAAAAAGUUUCGGACUUAAAAUUUCUCGCUUAUCAUAUAAAUGAAAAGACCAAUGAUCAGAUCAUACAUUUAAAAAAUUGAUUAAUUCAACUUUCCUCAAAUAACAUUGUUCAUUUCAAAUUAUGUUAUUUAAGCCAUAGAGUAAAUUCUUUUGAUCCACAUUUCAAAGCUUGUCCAACUAAGAUAUGUAGGUAGAAUUUAUAAUAGACCAAAGUAUUAAAAUCAUACAUAUUCUGAUUAAACUUUAUUCAUUUUCUGUAAUUUGAUAAAUUUUGAAAUUCGAACUCAAUUAAUUUAUAACUAUCAAACCGACCUGAAUUAAUUUCGAACUUAGCUAUUUAUAAACGAACGGGUACUGGAGCUCAAGCUCGAGUUAUGCUGCUAGGCGUGUUUAUAACAAUUCCAAUCCUAAGCAUAAUUUGAUGUGUCCUGGAGGAAACACGGUCCAAUUAAUAGUGUUUUUUCUUUCAAAUAUAUCAAUUAAUAAUUGGCAAAGUGUAACUUAAUUAAAAUGCUUUUCUUUUCUUCUUUUUUUUUUUUUUUUCAAAAAGAAAACUUAAAAAGGCUUAUUUUUAUGUGCACGAAUUGUAACUUCCCAUUUAAUUCACUGAACUCUUGGCAAGCCAGAUAAAAAACGUGAUAAUUUUUUUUUAUCUGAAAAAAAAAACAGUAUAUUUAUUGCGUGCAUGGACUGCUACGUAUAACAUGAAGAAUUAGCAAAUUUAGGCACAGAGGAGUAAGGAGUCAACUUCCUUUGGAAUUCACCUUAAACAAUCAACAACACAUAAGCAACUGGAAAAAAAAAACAAUUCUUAUUCCAUUAAAUUAAUUAAUUGCAAAUAAAAAAUAUUACAGAAACAGACAUAUCUAUAGCAGAAGGCGAGAAGCCUUUCUUGCAAUGGAAACAAUAAAUUCUUUUAUCACAAAAAAAAAAAAAAAAAAAAAUCAAAUAGUUACAAGAAUGAAAUGAAAAAAAAAAAAAAACUUGAGAAUAAACAGAAUAAUAAUGGAUUAAAUUUAUGCGCACUUGAAUCCUUCAGGGACCUUCUUGCCACAGUAAUUAAGCAACAAGCUCAAGUCAAUAGGAAGAUUUAGGUUAAUGCCCAAAAGACUAGCCUUAAUGGUGGUGCAAAGGCAGACGGCAGCUUCAAGAUCCACAAGAUCGCCAAGAAGGCUGCAGCAAGGGGUCUUUGGUGGGGUACCAACUGUAACAUUCAACAAACCCUUCAAGACAUCAGCACAUACACCCAGUUUCAGAGUAUCUCUAGGGCAAGCACCAGUUGAUGGGUUAGGCGAUGGCUUGGGCUUAGGUUUCGGUGGUGGUGGGCAAUUGGUAGAGCUCACUAAAGUGAAGAAGAGAAGGUUCAAGGAAAGAAGAAGGGCAGUGGAGACUACAGUUCUUGAAGCCAUUUCUCAAGAAUUAAUUAAUUCUUUGGAUAUAUGGUUCUUAAUUUGUUAGCUUCAAGAGACUGAUGAAAAUGGUGCAAUGGAUUAAGGAAUUUAAGCGCGGUUUGAGCUUUAAAAAUUCUUAUAAUAGAACCCAUGUGAUACAUUGCAAGGGAAUAUUGUUGGAAACAACCUGUCAUUGCAACUUGAGCUUGGACUAUAUAUCAUCCGAUCUUCUUUGAAGAUUCUUGAUUUUAAUUAUGUCUACACAUUGGUCGUUGAAUGUAGAAUCUAUAGUUGGCUAUAUAUCUAUUCCUUUGCGUGAAUCACACAUCAUUGCUGCAAAUCUUGAAAUUCCAUAUACAAUUAAGUAUAACCGUUCUUAAUUAAAAAAGAAUCUUGUAAUGCAUAGACAAUUAUGUUCUUAUAAUAAAAUAUAAACAAUAAAAAACAGAAGAACAAUUGAGGGGAUUGGAGAUCUAUGGUGUAGUGGGUUGCAGCCCCUCUCAACAUAAAACCUCAUAGGUUAGUUCCCCUGUCUCUGGGAGCCAACGGAGAAGAGAAUUACUUGAAACAUUAACUGGACACGGACAAGAGGCAGCAAAGGAGAAUAGUCGAAUUACUUGAACUAUUAAAAGAUUUGAUUUUUUUUUUUUUUUUUUUUUUUUUUUUUUUGUUUAUGGCAAGCAUUGUGGUUGUGGUUGGCCUUACAAUUUUUUUAAAAAAAUUGUGUAUACAUCGUAUUAAAUUCCUCUACACUUUUUUUUUCAUCUUCCUAAUUACGCGAGCUUAAAAUGAUUAGAGAAUGUGCAAUACAAAAAGGAAUUAGAUGGUUGGCCCUGAAAAGUAAACUUUAGAAACAUAAGAUUAUGACAUUAAUUUUUGAAUUUUUUAUCAGCUGUCAGAUGAAAACUUCAUUUCAGAAUAUUUUUUUCCCCUUACAACAAAUUAGCUUAAUUCAAUCGUUAACCUAUGUCUGCAUUUAUAUAUCAACUUCCAAAACAGCCAUUUUCCAUUGAAAUAAACCAAAAAAACACUUAUUUAGCUAUUUUCUUACUCAUAGUAGUAGUUGAAUUUAUCGUGGGGAUAAAUACUUCAACUAAUUAUAUCAGUAUAUUUAUGUUAUAAAUGAAGUGUAAAAUUACUCAAAUUCAAUUUUGUUUCAAAAUAUAUUAUUACUACAUUUUGAUAAAGAAAUUCAACAACAAUAUUUUUAUUUUUAACAUGGUAAUUGAGUAAAAUUUCUUUAGCAAUAUAGCCUCUAGUGUUAGUGUGUAUUUAUAUAUAAAUAUAUAAUGUUUGAAAUUACACGAGAAAGAAGGAUGAAACGAUGAAUAUUUAUUUGUCAUUCAGAAAGAUAUUCUCUCUUCAAUUAUUUAUUCGAGAAAUAGAAAGAUACUAGUUAUUCAUAAUUAGUAUAUAAAAAUAUAAAUUUAUUAGGAAGUAAAAUGCUAAAGUAAUACGAAUUAUUAUCAUUAUGUUUUUUUUGCAACAUCUUAUUAUUUCAUUAUACUAAAAAAACAAUACAAACGCAUGACGAAGAAGGCAAGAAAACCUUCUUGCCAAAUCGAAUACAACAGUAAGAUAUUAUUUUGAUUGAGCUUCUAUGGCAUAUAUGCCAAGAAAACAUCUCACGAAUAAAUUAAUACAGAACGAAAGAACUUAUUUAAAUUAACUUGGAAUAAAUAGAAUGCAUAACAAAAUUAUGCACAUUGAAAUCCUUGAGGGACCUUCUUGCCACAGUAGUUAAGCAACAAGCUCAGGUCAAUUGGAAGAUUUAGGUUAAUGCCCAGAAGACUAGCUUUAAUUGUAGUGCAAAGGCAGACAGCAGCUUCAAGAUCAACAAGAUCGCCAAGGAGGCUACAGCAAGGGGUUUUUGGUGGGGUACCGAUUGUUACACUCAACAAAUCCUUCAAAAGAUCAACACAUACACCCAGUUUUAGGGUAUCCCUUGGGCAAGCUCCUUGUGAUGGGCUUGGUGUAGGAUUAUUGGGCUUAGGGGAUGGGUUUCUUGGGCUUGGUGUCGGGUUAUUGGGCUUAGGUGAUGGGUUUCUGGGGCUUGGCGUGGGGUUAUUGGGCGAAGGUGAUGGGUUGUUAGGGCUUGGUGUCGGGGUUUUUGGCGUGGGUGAUGGAUUGCUCGGGUUUGGUGUCGGGUUAUUAGGCGAAGGUGAUGGGUUGCUGGGGCUUGGUGUUGGGUUAUUCGGUGAAGGUGAUGGGUUUCUUGGGCUUGGUGUUGGGUUAUUGGGCUUAGGUGAUGGGUUGCUGGGGCUUGGUGUGGGGUUUUUGGGUGUAGGUGAUGGGUUGCUUGGGUUAGGAGAAGGGGUUUUUGGUUUGGGUGAUGGCGUAUCAGGUGGACAAGAGCAAGAGGUGACCAAAGUGAAGAAAAGAAGAUUGAGGGAGAGAAGAAGGGCAAUGGAGGCUGCAGUUCUUGAAGCCAUAUUUCUCUGUGUUUUCUUUAGUUUACUAAAAUAAGUAUGAAGUGAUGAGAAAUGGUGGAGAGGGUGUAGGGUUUUUAUAGAAGGACACCACUUAAGCAUAAAAUUAGAAAAUUAGAAUAAUGUGAUGCAUGUGGAUACAUAUAUUUUUGCAUGGGUAAUAAAUAUCAUGAGACACAAGCUGUCACUUUGCAGCUAGCGUUUGAAAAUCAUCAUCGUUGAAAAAUCUUCAAUAUAAUUAGCAACUACGUGUAGGCACAUUCCAUAAAAAAAAAAAAUAAUAAAUAAAAAUUUGUUUAUUUAUUUCCUUUAAAUGGGUUGUUUUGAUGACUUUAUAAGUAGCUUCUGCCUAGUGCUGUUUUGGACGAAUCUCAUAAUUACAUUUAUAGAAUAUUUAUAGCGCAAUAACAGUUGUAGAUAGACAAAAUCCCUAAAGUUGGGGAGCAUUUAAUUUGUUUUAGUAAUUUUUUUUUUGUUUUAAUUAUGUUAAACAAGCUUUUUUUUAGUCAAGAGCAAUCACCUAUGAUUACAUUGGACAGUUAUUUGAAUGUGUUCAAAGUUUAAUGAAAUCUCACUAAACGUCUAAAUUUCUCUUUGCCAUGAUAGUUUGUUUGUUCCAAUUUUUUAACCAAUUCUACAUUUCCAUGUGGUAUUAUUUUAUUGAUUCCUUUUUCAAACAACUUUUACAUCUGCACCUGUUUACACCAUAAUUUGAAUCUAAUUCAUGUUUUUCUUUAUUUAGUGUUUUUUCAGUGGUUUAGUGGUUUAAAUUCCUAAUUUCUUCUGCUACGAUUUCAUUCAAGAUCAAUAAAUUUUGUCGUGCUUUAUCAAUUCAGUUCAUUUUUUAUGUACGAGUUUUAAGAAAAAAAAGUUUUAUUCUCUCUGUAUUAUUUAUAUUGAUUUGAAGUUGAUUAACGAAAUUUUAAUAUAUUAUGGUAGAAAAAAAAGCUAGUGUUAAUUACAAUUUUUCUAAUUCGUUUUUUUCCUUGAUUUCUUUACAAUACAAAUAACAAACAGUUUCAUAUAUCCAAAUUAUUAUAUUGAAAAUUCUUACGUUUCAAAAGUUCCCAAACAAUGAGGUGAUUUCAAUCUCUGGCUUCUCAAAUGAAUGUGUAUUCUUUUAAUCUUACUUUAAGGAUUGUAGCUAAAAAAUUUCAAAUAAAAAUUUUUUUAAAAAAGAGAAAAGUUUGGUAGGAUUAAACAAUCCAAACCAAUCCAACAUGACUCAAUAUUAAAUUUUUUUUUUUUUAAACUCGUUCAUUAAUGCAAACAAAUCAAGCUAAAAUACAAACUGAAACGCGAAUAUUUUUGUGCAUGAGUUUUGUCAUCUACAGACUCGACUCAAAAUCCCAUGAACAACUUUAAGAAAAAAUAAUUUAUGUGCUGAUAUUAUAAAAAUAAUAAUUUUCUUUAUAUUUUAUGAAAAAUUUAUUACAAAAUAAAAGUUAAUUAAAUUUAUUACAAUAAUUUUACAUUUCAACAAUAAUUUGGUUUAACUCAAAAUCAAGUCACAUCUUAUUAAACAUUGCUCGUUUUCAACUCCAUAAAGUAGUACCCGCUUUUGUUCUUUUGGCGUGUGUCUAUGCCUAAGUUUAACAACCAUUACACUUAUAUAUCCUUAGCUAGGAAUGGACAGUUCUGAUUUCUCAUGUGUACCGUGAAAGCAACUGUGCUGCAGAUUGGUUAGCCCAUUUUGGGAGUAGCCUUGCGUUGGGAGUCCAUUUUUUUGAGCUUCCUCCCAAUGGCUUUUCUAGUUUUCUGCUCCAUGAUGUCUGUGGAGUCAGUUAUUCUAGGCUAGUAAUUGUGUAGUUGUUAGUUUUAUUUUCUCUUUUCCAAAAAAAAAAAAAAAAAAAAACCCGUUACACUUAUAUAGAAAACAUUAGUUAUCCCAACAAUUAUCGACCUACGUAUUCAAUAUACUAUAAUUGAGUGCAACAAUAUAUAUCUAUGUGGACGGAAGUCCAAAAUACAUGGUAAGAAGUUAAACCCAGCCUUGAAUUAAUUAAGAAAUACAAAUUAAUAAUAACAUUAUGAAUUAAUUAUUUCAUUUAACAUCAAUUCAAGUAUAUCAUAUACCAAUAAAUUGACGAAAUUAAUUAUUAAUCUAUGCACAUUCAAAUCCUUCAGGAAGCUUCUUGCCACAGUAGUUAAGCAACGAGCUCAUGUCAUCAGUUGAAACAUUUAGGUUAAUGCCCAAGAUACUAGCCUUAAUGGCAGUGCAUAGACAAACAGCAGCUUCAAGAUCGCCAAGGAGGCUACAGCAAGGGGUCAUUGGUGGAGUACCCAUUGUUGCAUUCAACAAAGCGUUCAGAAGAUUACCGCACAGACCCAGGCUUAGGGUAUCCUUAGGGCAAGCUCCGGUUGAUGGGACUGGUGCUGGAUCGCUUGGCUUAGGUGGUGGCUUGCUUGUUUUUGGUGGUGGUGGUGGUGGGCAAGCGAAAGAGCUUACCAAGGUGAAGAAUAGAAGGUUGAAGGUUAUUAUAAUACAUAUAAUAAUUCAACAUUGCUCAAAAAAAAAAUAAAUAAAUAAAUAAAUGUUGAAUUAAUUUUCACUAGAAUCCAGUACAACAUACAAAGACAGAUAUGGAUGAAAGCAAUCAAGAAGCUUUCAUCACAUAAAAUUUUUUUUAAAAAAAGUUGCAAUUAAGAAAUUAUUGAAUAAAAUGUUUAUAUAGCAGAUAACCAAAUAAAACAUCCAAAACCUGAAAACACAACACAAAAAAAAGAAAACAAAAUCACAAAUGUGCAUAUUUACGCACACUUAAAUCCUUCUGGAACCUUCUUGCCACAAUAGUUAAGCAACAAGCUCAAGUUAACAGGAAGGUUUAGUUUAAGUCCCAACACAUUAGCUUUAAUAGUAGUGCAAAGGCAAACAGCGGCUUCAAGAUCAACAAGAUCACUGAUAAGGCUGCAACAAGGUGUCUUUGGUGGGGUUCCAACUGUAACACUCAGCAAAUCUUUCAAUAGAUCAACACAUACACCUAGCUUUACAGUAUCCUUAGGGCAAGAACCUUUAUUCCCUUUUGGCUUUGGUGAUGGUGAUGAUGGUGUUGGUGGGCAAUUGGUAGAGCUCACCAAAGUAAAAAAAAGAAGAUUUAGGGAGAGGAGAAGGGCAGUGGAGGCUAUAGUUCUUGAAGCCAUUUCUCACCUAAAAUAGUUUCUUGGAUAGUUUUAGAGAUAUGAGCUUUGCUAUAGCUAAAGUUUCAAGAGAUGGGUGACAAUUGUGAAGUCGGUUGAGGGUUUUUAUAGAUGAUGAUUGGAGUUUAUAAUAAUUUCUAUUAUAUUUAUUGAAUUUAAAAAAUCUCCAACAUGUCAAAUGAUGGUUGGUAAUGUGCCCAUAUUUCACUCUUGUUAGUAAUUCUCCGUCUUAUUUAUUCUCUCAUUUACUGUAAUUGCACUCUGAAUGCAAUAUUUAAAAUUUAGAAAAUAAAUUUAUUUGGAUAUAUGAAAGCUGAUUCAAAUGUGAGAGAAGAAUAUACUUGAUUACCUGUGGGCACAUUGGAUUAUUCAUGUAAGAUACACAACCUGGCAAUGCAGGUUGCAUGAUAAGAUGUUUUGUGAUUAUAGAGUUUGGAGUGUUCCUAUUUGUUAGUUGGCAAUUCUCUCUCUGCACAUGCCAAUUAUGUAAUAUUGCAUUUUGUUACUAAUUCUUCAUAUAUAUGUAUGUACUUGUUUUGUUCACAUCUGCAUAUUCUGAUCUGCAAGUUGAAUUUCCAGCUAACUUUAAACAUUAUUGAUGGCUUAACAUCGUAACAAUUGAAAUAAAAUUAACAAUUUACUGUAAAAUUAUGAAAGAUAAUAAUAAAGUUUGUUUUUUUGGGUAAUUAAGAAACCAAAGCAUUAUAAACUUAUAGAGCAAAUCCCAAAUCCUAAAGUCGAAUCAGAGACUUGCAUUGCAAAAUCCACAUGGAAAAAUCGAGAAAGCAUAGUGAUGGAGAAGAGGACACUGUAGCUCUGGUAAUGGCAGUGGGAAGAUAGUAGGUAAGGUGGCCAUUGAAAUGAAGGUCGCAUUGAAAUGAGAAUAUAAUUUUUCUAUCUUAUCUCUGUUUCUUUUUUUUUUUUUUUCCACAAAUAGUAAUAAGGAUUGUAUUUCUGGAAAUUCCUAAUUAAAAAAUGGUAACAAAACAGUUCAAUCUUAAGGAUAACUUCUACGUUUUCCUCCCUAUUUGCAAAUGAUAGGAAACCCAAAACUGAUUAUUGAAGUCAACUUUAUAAUGCCCCCAAAUCCAGUGACAUAUUUUCAGACUGUUGGAAAUAUUAUAAGUCAAUUUCCUGCCAAUCAAAUAUAGUUUGCUUGGUCGUCUUUUCAAUUUUUUUUUUUAAUUUAAGACCAAAAAUCUCAUAUUAGAUUGUUUUCAAUCAUAUAAAAGUCUUAAUCAAUAUUGUAAAAGUUAUUUAAAGGGAAAAUUACCUUCUGCUUUGUAGCAUAUAUACAAGCUUAUCUCAACUUAUAUAAUUUAAAAAAAAAAAAAAAAACAAUUCUCAAACCAUCAGUCAUAAUAAUUAAUUAAUUACUUGUGAGCUUUUACAUUGAAUAGUACUUGACAAACACGAUGUUAGAGAUCUACUGAAUAUUAACUUUGGGAAUUGUCUAUUGAUUAAUCUCAUUCAAAAUUGUCCCUUUUUGGCAUUAAAACUCACAACAGAAAUUUAUAAUUUCAUCGUUCCAUUGGACACAAUAGCCAAUCAAUAUUUCAAGCUAUGCCCACUUCUAUAUAAUCUUAAUUUUCAACUCAUUCCACAAUAAAUUAUAAAAAUCUUAAUUUUCAACUCAUUCCACAAUAAAUUAUAAAUAAGCUCACAAAAAUCAGCUAACUUUGAUUAUAAUAUUUCUGUUUUAAGUCUGGUCUUUAGGAGAGAGUCAUAUAUAUACGCUUUUUAUAUUGAUUUGAAUUUAAUUACUGAAGCUCUAAUAUAUUUAAUAGCCUGUAAAUUAAGUGAUAAUAUAAAAAGUGAAAAGUUCAAACAUUAAAAUAUUUCAUUUUCUUUGGAAACCAUAUUUCUAACUAGUCUUUACCUGACAAAGAAUCAUUUGUUGCAGUUUAAGUUGCGAAACGAAGAGAUAUGUUAUGGAAGGUCUAUGCUUGCAGAAGAUUUGGAACUUAAGGCAACUGCCCAAUGGUAACCGCAUCAAGUGUAACACUUGAAAUUACAAAUGUAAAAUAUGUCAAGAAAAACAACACAACCAUGCAUAUUAUUUUCAAACAUCAUAUUAUUACUUGAAAAUUUCCAAUUAAAAUAAUAACAACAAUUUGCCAAAAGAAUACGCAUUACAAUGAAAAAUGAAGUCAGUAAACUUUCUCUGCAACGAGUACGUAACUGCAAGAAAUUAUUGAUUUACCCAAUAAAAAACCCAAAUUAAGCCAAAACACACACCAUUAAUUAGGACGAGAAAGAAACUGAAUGAAUAGUGCAGUAUUAAUCUAUGGACAUUUGAAUCCUUUGGGAACCUUCUUCCCGCAUCUGUUGAGGUACAAGCUCAAGUCAAGUGGAACAUUUAGGUUUAGGCCCAAAACAUUAGCUUUAAUGGCAGUGCAAAGGCAAGCACCAGCUUCAAGAGCAACAAGAUUACCAAGAAGGCUACAGCACUGUUGAUUUGGUGGGAUUUUAAUAAUCCCCAACACAUCUGCACAUACCUUCAGCUUUAGGGCAUCAAUAGGGCAAGUGGCAGCGCUCGUCAUAUUGAAGAAAAGAAGGUUAAGGGAAAGAAGCAAGGCAAUGGAAGCUACAGCUCUUGAAGCCAUCUUGGAUUUUUUUUUUUUUUUUUCUUCAGGAUAUAAAUGAGCUUUUGUUUUGAUGCUGAUGAGAAAUAGUGAAGGGGUUUUUAUAGAGGGAGAUUAAGCGUAAGUUAAUGUUAAACAGAUCAAGAAUGUGAUCCAUGUGGGCAUUAUUGAACAAAAGUAGCUGGCAUGCGCAGUGAAGCAUAUAAGUUAUGUCUUAUAAUCAACAUAUGGGCGCACGUCGAGUAAUCGUGUAAGUACCGAAUAAUCCCAUGAUCUUCAACUUCAGGGAUUAGUUUUUAAUUAUUGUUCGUAGCUCCUGGAAUUACUCAUAAUUAUUCUUUACGUGAAAAUUGAGUUUUAAACGUGCUCUUGACCAUACUACUUUCACAUUUUAUUUGUGGGGAUCCAUAGAUCUAGUAUAGACAAGUUAAUCCCAUCAAUAACACUCUUUGCUGUUCUCUCUCUUUGAAUUCUCAUCCUUUUCUAUCUUAUCUCUGUUUCUUUUCUUUUUCCUCGAAUAGUAAUAAGGAUUGUAUUUCUGCAAAUUCCUAAUUAACAAAAUGGUACAAAACAGUUCAAUCUUAGGGGAUAACUUUUACGUUUUCCGCCAAAUUUGCAAAUGAUAGGAAACCCAAAACUGAUUAUCGAACACAAUGCACUUAAUAAAAUCUUCCACUGUUGGAAAUACUUUCUUGUUUAUCAGCAAAUAAAAAUUUUAUUUUAGUAAACAAACAUAUCCAGGAAAAACUUAGCAAAAUUAAGAAACUUUAUCCGAGCUAAUAAACCCUCUAAAUACAUCCAAACCUACUUAAAAAUGUUAAAUGAAAAAAACCUGAAAAACCUUAAAAUUAAAAUACAUAUUUAUCUUCUGGAGAUAAAAAAGAAUGAAUUUAAAACCAAAACUGAAUCGAAUCAAAUCAAAGUACCGUGAAAGUCAAAAAUCUACUUAUGACCCAACCCUCAAUAUCCAAACUGAAGAACCAUUUGCUCUUAUCCUCUAAUCAAAGCCACCUAACCGAAACAUAAUUAUAACCAUAGCCAAAAAAAGUUCUGCAUAAAUUACUCCUUUGUUUUAGCUAGGUUAUCUGCAAAACAAUUUUUUUCUCUAUUAACAUGUUUGAAUUGAAAGAAAAACAAAGAAUCAAGAAGAAGUCAAGUCUAUUAAAAUUGAACGGCCAUCUCCAAAGGCGAUGAUUAUGUUGAGUUACCCAGCCGAAGACUACUCUAGAAUCUGUCUCAAAAGUAAUUGAAAUUUUGGCAAACUUUAAAUGAACAUAAAUCUCAACGGCUUUUGACAAAUCGAAUAACUGAGCAACAUUUGACUCUUUUAAAUCAACGGAUUCAUAAAAACUCAUAAGAUAAACCCUUGCAAAUUCCUCAUUACACCUUCAAUUUCCGCUAGGUCAGGCUUUCGUAAGGCACAUUCAUCUGUCAAGCACGAUGUUAUAGAUCUAUUGAAUAUUAACUCUGGGCAUUGUCCAUUUAUUAUUCUAUUUCAAAUUUGUCCCCUUUUUUGGCAAAAGAAAUUUCAUUGCAAUAACCAAUCAAAUAGUUCAAGCUACACCCACUUUCAUAUAAUCGUAAUUUUCACGUCGUCCGUAAUAAACUAUAAAUAAUCUUACAAAAUUAGCCAAUUUUGAUAUGGUUUUUGAUUAUAACAGUUCUGUUUUAAAUCUGGUCUAGAAGAGAAUCAUAUUUUUUGUAGGCUUUCUGUAUUAUUUUGAAUUUAUUUAUAUUGAAAUCCUAAUAUAUUUAAUAGUGGGUAAAUAGUUAAGUGUUUGAUUUUGAUAAUAUCAAAUGUGAAAAGUUCAAACAUUAAUAUUUCAUUUUCUUUAGAAAUCAUAUUUCUAACUAGUCUUUACCUUAAAAAAAAUAUUUCUUGCAGUUUACGUGGCAAAACGAAGAGAUAUGCAAUGUAAGGUCGAAGAUUUGGAACUUAAUGCCCAAUGGUUACAGCAUCAAGUGUAACACUUGAAUGUGAAAUUCAACGAUAGGAAAUUACAAAUGUAAUAUAUGUCAAAAAAAAAAAAAAAAAAAACCAACACAACCAUGCAUAUUCUCUUAGAACAUCAUAUUAUUACUUGAAAAUUUCGAAUUAAAACAAUAACCGUAAUUGGCCAAAAGAAUACACAUUACAAUGAAAAAUGAAGUCAAUAAAACUUUCUCUGCAACGAGUACGUAACAGCAAGAAAUUAUUGAUUUACCCAAGAAAAAUCCCAAAACAAGCAAAAACACACGCCAUAAUUAGGAGGAGAAAGAAACUGAAUGAAAUAGUAGUGGAGCAUCAAUCUAUGGACACUUGAAUCCUUGUGGAACCUUCUUCCCGCAUCUGUUGAGGUACAAGCUCAAGUCAAGUGGAACAUUUAGGUUUAAGCCCAACACGUUAGCUUUAAUAGCAGUGCAAAGGCAAGCACCAGCUUCAAGAGCAACAAGAUUACCAAGAAGGCUGCAGCACUGUUGAUUUGGUGGGAUUUUAAUAAUCCCCAACACAUCGGCACAUGCCUUCAGCUUUAGGGCGUCAAUAGGGCAAGUGGCAGCGCUUACCAUAUUGAAGAAAAGAACGUUAAGGGAAAGAAGCAAGGCAAUUGAUGCUACAGCUCUUGAAGCCAUCUUGGAUUUUUUUUUUUUUUUUUUUUUUUCUUUUAGGAUAUAAAUAAGCUUUUGUUUUGAGGCUGAUGAGAAACGGUGAAGGGGUUUAAGGGUUUUUAUAGAGGGAGAUUAAGCCGAAGUUAAUGUUAAUUAAACAAAUCAAGAAUGUGAUCCAUGUGGGCAUUAUUGAACAAAAGUAGCUGGCAUGCGCAGUGAAGCAUAUAAGUUAUGUCUUAUAAUCAACAUAUGGGUGCACGUCGAUUAAUAUUGUAAUCUGUGGGUGCACCGAAUAAUCCCAUGAUCUUCAACUUCAGGGAUUAGUUUUUAAUUAUUGUUAGUAGCUCGUGGAAUUAUUGAUAAUUAUUGUUUAUGUGAAAAUAGAGUUCUGAACUCGGUCUUGACAAUCGUAUUUUUACAUUUUAGUUUGAAAGAUAAACAAUCAACCAAGCACUGCUGGAGACUAUAUAGAACGCAUUUUCAAUUUCACAAUUCUUUUUGUAUUCAUGAAAAGCUUCUAUAAUGAUGGUUAAUGGAGUUUAAACUCAAGUCUUUUCCUCUCUCCAUGAACUCUAUUUUUUAAGUUAAAGGUGGGCGAGAGAUUAAAAUAGUUGAAGAAACCAAUUAGCUAGGUAUAAAAAUUGACUAAUAAAGGAUUGUAAUUAAAAGAUAUUUUAUCUUGGAUGGAUUAAUCUCACAAUAAUAAAAGCUUAGGUCUCUGUAACAUAUAAGUACGAUUAUAUAUGUUUAGAUAUCACUUUCUAUUUUUUGCAUUAACACCCUUUUUGAUUAAAAUUGCCUGGAAUGCUAUUUUGUAUGGAUGCACCUGCAUUUCUAUAUUGUAUGAAAGCAAGGUUGUUCCGUACUUCGUAUAUAUACUUUUCUAUCGACUUAAAUAAUCAAUCUUAUAAGUUUUCUAUCGACUUUUCUAUACAAAUCACUGAAUUUAAAAAGAUCUUUUAUUAAACUUAAACGUGUCUUAUCUUUGAAGUCAUUUUAUAGCUAAGUAUUGUGAUAUUUUUUACAUAUUAAUAAUACUUAGCUACAUAUGUUGUAUUUGAAAUUCUUUAAUUGGGUGUAAAUUAAUCUAUAGAUACUGCAUAUGCUUAGACAUAUAUAGGCCCUGGGGUAAAGUUUACUAUUUCCUUCUUUUAAUAUUGGAGAAAGAUACUAUUAGUAAUAUUCAAACUCUGAUUAACAUAGCCCAACACGUUAGCUUUAAUAGCAGUGCAAAGGCAAGCACCAGCUUCAAGAGCAACAAGAUUACCAAGAAGGCUGCAGCACUGUUGAUUUGGUGGGAUUUUAAUAAUCCCCAACACAUCGGCACAUGCCUUCAGCUUUAGGGCGUCAAUAGGGCAAGUGGCAGCGCUUACCAUAUUGAAGAAAAGAACGUUAAGGGAAAGAAGCAAGGCAAUUGAUGCUACAGCUCUUGAAGCCAUCUUGGAUUUUUUUUUUUUUUUUUUUUUUUCUUUUAGGAUAUAAAUAAGCUUUUGUUUUGAGGCUGAUGAGAAACGGUGAAGGGGUUUAAGGGUUUUUAUAGAGGGAGAUUAAGCCGAAGUUAAUGUUAAUUAAACAAAUCAAGAAUGUGAUCCAUGUGGGCAUUAUUGAACAAAAGUAGCUGGCAUGCGCAGUGAAGCAUAUAAGUUAUGUCUUAUAAUCAACAUAUGGGUGCACGUCGAUUAAUAUUGUAAUCUGUGGGUGCACCGAAUAAUCCCAUGAUCUUCAACUUCAGGGAUUAGUUUUUAAUUAUUGUUAGUAGCUCGUGGAAUUAUUGAUAAUUAUUGUUUAUGUGAAAAUAGAGUUCUGAACUCGGUCUUGACAAUCGUAUUUUUACAUUUUAGUUUGAAAGAUAAACAAUCAACCAAGCACUGCUGGAGACUAUAUAGAACGCAUUUUCAAUUUCACAAUUCUUUUUGUAUUCAUGAAAAGCUUCUAUAAUGAUGGUUAAUGGAGUUUAAACUCAAGUCUUUUCCUCUCUCCAUGAACUCUAUUUUUUAAGUUAAAGGUGGGCGAGAGAUUAAAAUAGUUGAAGAAACCAAUUAGCUAGGUAUAAAAAUUGACUAAUAAAGGAUUGUAAUUAAAAGAUAUUUUAUCUUGGAUGGAUUAAUCUCACAAUAAUAAAAGCUUAGGUCUCUGUAACAUAUAAGUACGAUUAUAUAUGUUUAGAUAUCACUUUCUAUUUUUUGCAUUAACACCCUUUUUGAUUAAAAUUGCCUGGAAUGCUAUUUUGUAUGGAUGCACCUGCAUUUCUAUAUUGUAUGAAAGCAAGGUUGUUCCGUACUUCGUAUAUAUACUUUUCUAUCGACUUAAAUAAUCAAUCUUAUAAGUUUUCUAUCGACUUUUCUAUACAAAUCACUGAAUUUAAAAAGAUCUUUUAUUAAACUUAAACGUGUCUUAUCUUUGAAGUCAUUUUAUAGCUAAGUAUUGUGAUAUUUUUUACAUAUUAAUAAUACUUAGCUACAUAUGUUGUAUUUGAAAUUCUUUAAUUGGGUGUAAAUUAAUCUAUAGAUACUGCAUAUGCUUAGACAUAUAUAGGCCCUGGGGUAAAGUUUACUAUUUCCUUCUUUUAAUAUUGGAGAAAGAUACUAUUAGUAAUAUUCAAACUCUGAUUAACAUUAACAAUAAGCCAUUAUUUGAUUUCUCAAAGAAAAUAGUUUAUUUUAUGAAAUGAAAAUACCUAAUCUUUACAAAAUUUUUGUAUCAUAAAUUUGAAAAAAAUAUCUCAUUAUGUAUAUAAAUUGACUAUUAUAUAUUUAAAAAAUUCACUAAUUUUAAAUUUGAACCAAAAUUAAAAUUAAGAAUAGCUAUUCUAUUUCUUUUUAUAGAUUGUCAAAAGUUCAGGAAUUAAUUAAUAUUUUCUUUUUAUAUGUUAUUACCACGUUAGUCGCGAGUAUAUAUUUAUUUUAUGUAAAGCUUAAUCUGUGUUUUAUCCUAAAUGCUUGGAAAACAAGUGUUUCUCAAAAGGCAGCACAACCAUUGCAUAUUCUUUUCAAAACAUCUUAUUAUUUCUUUAAACUCAGUAACAGUAAUUAAAUAAAAAUAUGUUUAAACUCAGUAACAGUAAUUAAAUAAAAAUAUGUUUAUUGAGUUUUUUUCUCUACAUAUGUUAUUUCUAUUUAAUUCUUAUAUAAAAAUUCUUCUUUGCUGAUAAAAAAAAAACAGUAAUUUGCCAAAAGAAUACAGAUUACAAUGGAAAAAGAAUACAAGCAACCUUCUCUGCAGUACAUAGCACCCAGAAAAUUAUUGAUUUACCCAAAAAAUAUCCCAAAUUAAUAAGCAAAAACCCACACCAUUAAUUAGGAAAAGAUAGAAACUGAAAGAAAUCAUGGACUACUAUAAUUUAAUUAAGGGCACUUGAAUCCUUUUGGAACCUUCUUCCCACAGUUGUUGAGGUACAAGCUCAAGUCAAGUGGAACAUUUAGGUUUAGGCCCAAAACGUUAGCUUUAAUGGCCGUGCAAAGGCAAGCAGCAGCUUCAAGAGCAACAAGAUUACCAAGAAGGCUACAGCAAGGUUGAUUUGGUGGGAUUUGAAUAAUCCCCAACACAUUGGCACAUACCUUCAGUUUUAAGGCAUCAAUAGGGCAAGUGCCAGUGGCAGCGCUUACCAUACUGAAGAAGAGAAGGUUAAGGGAAAGAAGUAAGGCAAUGGAAGCUGUAGCUCUUGAAGCCAUUUUGAGAAAAAAUAACAAUUUUUAUUUUAUUUUUUUGAGAUAUAGAGAAGCUUUUUGUUUUGUUUUGAGGGUGAUGAGAAAUGUUGAAGGGGCUUAAGGGUUUUUAUAGAGGGAGAUUAAGACUAGGUAAUUAAGAAUUAAGCAAAUCAAGGAUGUGAUGAUCCAUGUGGGCAUUAUUGAGCAAAAUAGCUGGCGUUUGGAGGGACAGUGAAGAAUAUAAUCCAUCUGGAUGCAUGUUGAUUAAUCGUGUAGCCACUGAAUUGAAUAUAUAAUCCCAUAUGACCUUCAAAUUGAGGAUUAGUUUUUAAUUAUUAUUAUUAGUUGCUCGUGGAAUUAGUGUUUAUUUUUUAAUUAUUAUUAAUUAACCGAAACUAACAUUUUCAUUUUCAUUUUUCGUAUAUAUGAGAGCUUCUAUGGUGGUGGUUAAUGGAGUAAUCCAUAUAGAACUUUUCACACAUAUACCUCCAACGACAUAUUUUCAACGACCAAUUGCGUAGAAGUAUUAAAAACCAAUUUUUGAACCAGGACCUCUCUUUCAAAACAUCGUCACGCAUAAGUAAUAAUUAAUUAAUUAAUUAAUUAUACAUUGGAGAUUUUACAUCCUUGACAAAUAUAAUGAUAUGAAUAUUGACUUUGGUUUUCAGUUUUCAAUUGAUUAUUGAGCUAGUGCAUAAAUUUACCAUAUAUUUUCGAUAAUUAUUUUUAUAGCCUAUUAAAUUUUACAGGAUUCAUUUACAUUUUUAUAUUUGAAUAAUAAUAACACUCCUCCCCAAAAUGAAAUAAUUUUGCAGAGAGUCAAUCAUAACUCUAUGCUUUCAUGUUUCAUUUCGGUGAGAGGCAUAAUUAUUAUUGAAAUAUGAAAAAAUUAAUCAAAAUUCAGGGUCAAAUUUCUGUAUUAAGCUAACGAUUAUUUUCAUUCAAAAUUUUCUCCACUGUUCACUAAGCUAUGUUAUGGCAUCAAAACUCAAUGAAAAUGUUAUGGUUGUAUUAUUACUCUAUCAGGGAUGGAGUUAGGAAUUAAAAUUAAGGAUAAAAAAAUUUUAUGAGUUAAAGAGGGUGAAAUUGAAAGAAAUUAUUAUUUUAAAGGGUAAAAUAAAAAAUUUCAAUAUUUAUGGAGGAUUCUUUUAAAAAAAUUUAGGGGGGUUGAGGGCCACCGCUGGCCCCCUAAGGACCUAGCUCCGUCAAUGACUCCAUUGAUUUCUUUCAUUCAAAAAAAAAAAAAGAAGCAAACCCAUAUUUGAGGCUGCCAAUCGUAAGGCCAAUAACAGUUCUAGCCACUUUGAUAUUGCACUGUUAGGCUUAGAUAAAGGCCCUGGUGGGGUAAAGUUAAUAUUGGAGAAAUAUAUUAUUAGUAACAUUCAAACUCUAACAUUAAUACUAAUCUCUUGUUUGGUUUCAGAAAUGGAAUAGUUUAUUUUAAGAAAUGAAAUACUUAUUCUCACUCCUUAAAAAACUUUUGUUUUUAUAAAUUUUUUAAAAAAUAUCUAUUUUUUGUAGACUAUUUUUUUUCUUAUAUAUAAUAGUUAUUUAACAUUUAAAUUUGAACUAAAAUCAAGAGUAUCUAUUCAUGGAAAUAACUAUUAUAUUUUAUAUUUCUUUUCGGUUCUGCAUGCCAUUGAUGAAUGGCACGAAAAUUAAACAACUUCAUUUUACUUUGAAUUAGUAGUUAAUAGUAAAUAGUUUAACAAUAUAGUGUAUCAACACUUUGAAUUAAUAAUAUUUAUUAAAUUGAUAAUAACUUCUAUAGUACGGAGAAAUCGAUUUGAGACCGCACAUUUUCUAAUUUUUUAUAAGAUGUGGAAAGAUUAAAUAAACCACAACUAAUUAACUUUUUUUUAUCUAUUAUUAUCACAUUAGUCCGUGAUAUAUUUAAUAUAUGCAGUACUAAGUAGUGCUCAGUGUUUUAUUUAAAUGUUUGAAAGCAUAAAAAAAAAACAUAACUGUUUGCAUGAAUUUGCGCAAUUGGUACCUUUCAAAAAAAAGAAUUUGCGUAAUUGUUUGUCGGUAGGCAACACAACACAUUGCUAGUAAUAUUUUCAAAACAUCUUAUUAUUACUUCAAAUUCAGUAAAAGUAAUAACAAUAAUCUGCCAAAAGAAUACAUAUUACAAUAAAGAAUAAGGCAAUAGAAACCUCUUUCUACAAUGAGCACAUAGCACCCAUAAAUUAUUGAUUUUCCCAAAAGAUAUUCCCAAACUAAUAAGCAAAAACACACACCAGAGAAGAUAGAAACUGAAAGAAAUAAUGGAGUACUAUAAUUUAAGGGCACUGGAAUCCUUUUGGAACCUUAUUCCCACAGUUGUUGAGGUACAAGCUCAAGUCAAGUGGAACAUUUAGGUUUAGCCCCAAGACAUUAGCUUUAAUGGCAGUGCAGAGGCAAGCAGCAGCUUCAAGAGCAACAAGAUUACCAAGAAGGCUACAGCAAGGUUGAUUUGGAGGGAUUUGAAUAAUCCCCAACACAUUGGCACAUACCUUCAGUUUUAGGGCAUCAAUAGGGCAAGUUGUCGCGCUUACCAUAUUGAAGAAGAGAAGGUUAAGGGAAAGAAGCAAGGCAAUGGAAGCUACACCUCUUGAAGCCAUCUUGGAAUUUUUUUUUUUUUUUUUUUUCUGAAGAUAUUAAUGAGCUAUUGUUUUGUUUUUGGGGUGAUGAGAAACGGUGAAGGGGUUAAAGGGUUUUUAUAGUGGGAGAUUAAGAGUAAGUUGAUAUUAAACAAAUCCCACGUGGACAUUAUUGAGCAAAAUAGCUGGCAUAUACAGUGAAUAAUAUAAAUGAUGGUUCUUUUUUUAUUAAAAUUUUCAAUAACUAAUCUAUCACGGGUGCACGUUGAUUAAGUUUGUAGCCUAUGGAGGCACGCAAUAAUUUUAAUUAUAUAGUUUUUAAUUAUUAUUAUUAUUAGUAGCUUGUGGAAUUAUUAGUGAUAAUUAUUUUAUUACAUAAUCCUUUCUUCGCUAUACGUUUUUACAUUUUAUUUAUAGAAUGGAAAGUAGCAUUUUCAAUUCCAUAAUUCUUUUCAUGUUCUUGAAACUUUUUUUUUUCAUAAUAGUUAAUAGAGUUUAACUUUAAGAUUUCUUAUUUCUCCGAACUUUUUUUAUUUAAGUUAAAGAUGAUAAAUUUAAAAUAAUCGAAUAAACCAAUUAAUUAUGCAUAAUUAGAUAAUUAGUUUCCUCUCAAUUUUUUCAAAUAAAGUGUAUAAUGUUUAAUUUUCUUAUCUAUUAUUAUUAUUAUUAUGAGAUUUUCCUUCAUCAAUUUAAUAAAAGUUAUAAAAACAGAAGACUAUAUUUUACUAUGUAACUUAUCCCAUUUAAUUUUUCCGUGGAGAGAAAAAAACUAUGCAAGAAUUAAAGGUAUAAUUUAUUAAAAAUCGAAGGUGGAAGUGUGAAUUUUAAAGGUUUGCAAAAAAGAAUUUUGCAAGUAAAAAAAAUAUUAAAAAUGAAUAUUCAGUAUUGCACCACUCUUAGCUUAAUAAAUGUGGGCUAGCCCAUGAUCUUCCAAAAUACAUGGGAAGAUACAAUUGAAAAUAAAAAAAGAACUUCCUUCUGUAAGAAAAUUCUACAAGCAUAUUAUAUUAUAUAAUACCAUGUUUAUUUAAAUCAUAUAUCAUGUAUUAUUUUAAAAUCCUUAUUAGACUAAUUCAAAAUUUAACAGCUAAAUCUUCAUGAGAUUUGUCAUCAAUUAAAAUAAUAUUUGAUAUUAAUGAAUGGUUAAUUGUUUAUUAUUAUACAUUAAGGAUGAUAAUCUCAGCGUUUGUCUGAAAUAGUUUUGUGAAUUGUAAGUGAGCCUUGCAGUGUGAUUGGGUUAUGAGUUGUGGGAUUAUGAGCCCUAUUUUGAUAGAGAUAAAAAUAAAUUAAUUAAAUUCUAAAGACUCUGAAUUGUAAUUGUGCUUAGCUAGUAAUUGUAAUUAGAGGCUAAAUAUUAUAAAUAUUGAUAUAAUAAUACGAUUGGUUUAUCUAGACAUAAUCUAUGGAUCUACUUAUGGACUAUACUAAUUAAAAAUGUAUUUUUAUUACAAUGAAUUCAUUUAUAGCCAUGCAGUGAAAGAAAAAAGGAU
rnacentral:lncRNA from 1 species